CAUCGCUCACCGUGGCGGCAGCCCCGCUACCCGUUCCGUGGUCAGCCUCGGCGGCUGCGGUGGUACCGUCGCCGUCGCUCGCCAUCGUGGGGGUGGCCGUACCUGCCCUGUGGCCCUGGCACACAGGGGGAGCCCGGGGCUGCCUUGGAGAUCAAUGGCACCCGCGGGGAGGAAGGAGCAAGGCCACGCAUAGUCUGCUGGAGCUGGGCAGCAGGCCAUGAGGCUAGGCGUGAAGUAAUCCCCUCUGCAAGAAAGGUGGCCUCACGGCCCUGGCCAUCAAGGGCUGCCUCCCCCUCUCUGACAGACACCCACACCACGGGCCAGCCCAAGGCCUCGCCGCUGCUCCUCUUCACCAAACUGGAGGCCCGACUGAACUGAAUUACUGGCAGGACCGUGUUUUCCAAAGGAAAACGGCCAGCCCUGUUCGCCAGCACUGACCACCAGUGGGCCACGGCACCGGAGCGUCCUCCCCCAAGACGACCUGUGUGCCAGGGAGCUGAAGAGCAACAAAAUCAAACAAGGGUUCUUACGAGAGAACGGCACUCGCCCUUGACUCAGACUAAGCAACAUACGAUCCUUUGCUCUGAGCUGGGGAAGUACUAGGCGCACAGCUGUAGCGACAUCACUGGAACAGAGGAGGCUGGGCACAAAAUGGCGUCACUGCCGAAUGUGGGGGACAGCGGUCAUCCCAUGGACUUCUCGGUGCUAUCCACCAAAGAUAAGUUUGUCACUCCAGGGGCCAGAGGAGCAGGGAUUCAGUGCAUUAAUAAUGUUUAAGUGCAUGUCCAAAAUAAUGUAACUUUGCUGAAACUAUCGGAUUACGAGAGGGGUUUUGGGAGACGGCAUGAACAGAACUUUUUAAAUUCACUGAUUACCUUAAAAAUCCAUUUAUGACCAAGCUUUGACAAAGGUCUCUUGGCUACGGAAAAAAGGAUUAAUAUGGGAAUAUCAUUUAGGUCAUACGAAAACACACUUACUCCAUCAAGAAGCCUUGUGAGCUCAAAAGAUCAACUCAUACAGCUCUAUGUAGUAGGACCAAGGUUUAUGCUCCCUUAAUUUUUUUCUCCUAAUUAGAGUAAUAAUGAUUAUAUUUUUCACUCGCAUUUCAAAGAAAAACAAGAUUUCUUUUACGCAGUGUUAUAUAGUGAAAAUUGUUCUGCAAUAUGUGGUAGUAGAAAACCAGACAUGUUAAUGGAGUAAGAUGAGAAUUUAAAACUGUCAGGAAAUUCUUAAAAUUAGUAACUCCACCUCCUGUAUUUUUUGCUUUCAUGACAAGUGAAGGAAGUAACCUAGAAACCGGUUGUGGGUUUCUACCUUCAUUUUUGCUGACAGUUUCAUGGAAGGACCAAGAACCUUUGGGCCUUUUUCUAUGAAUAAUUUUUCAUCCAUAUUUUGUCAUGGUUAUUUACUAGGUAUUGUAAAGGAGAUAAGGAGACUUUAAUAUAUACAAUGUAAUUUAAGAAAAAUAUUUCCCUUCUUAGUUGCUUAGGAUAUGGAUGUGCUAUUAAAAUCCUGGUCAUAAAGUCUUUUAGGAAAAGAACUAGGAUGAUCCCCUGAAUAUAUGUACAAUAGAUUAUACACACACACACACAUUCCCACCUGCCACAAGGGGCCUUUAGGUCUCCUUUGGCAUUUUGGGUUGCCAUGAUAAUUUUUACAGUAAAGACCAUACCUCAUCACAGCUGUGGUAGUGUACAGGAAAAGGAGAUCCUCCCACAACUAAAUACUUUUGUAAAACCUUUGCAUUAAAGAGAGAAUGUAAAAGUAGAAGGUCUAGCAUCUUACCCUGUAUUUUCAUAUCUUCUGUCUCUGGUAUCUUAGAGCAAUUGAUACUCUCCAAGAAAUGUCAGAUUGGAAGGAACCUCAACAAAUUGUCUGGCCCAUCUUGCAAUGAGGCUAGACCAAGACUGGGAGAGUGAAGAAGAAUCCACAAAAUCGACCUUGUUUUUAAAAAAAUUCCUUUGAUGUCUAACCAGACUUCACAUCAAUAGCAACUGCUUUUGGCACAACAUUACUUGUGACACCUUUGCAAGCCAUAUGCUAAGUCAGCUUAGUGGGUCUGGAAAUGUCUGAAGCACAAUGAUGGAGGGAUACUUCAGCCUGGGAUGCCCUGAGGACUUUCCUGAGAAGCAGUAAUGUCUUCAUAGGUAGGAAGGGGCUGUGGGCUCAGCGAUCCAGUCUUGAAGGCGACAACUUGAAUUCCGGUCUCAAUUUGAUCUUCAUGUUCCAUUCUCUUCAAAUUACACACAUCCUUUGACAUUAAGGAAGCUUUGAAUAGAACCUCGUCAGCUGGGAAAAGGCAGAUCUCACCACCUGCAAAGAAGGACUUUUCUGAGAGUAGUGAUCUGCAAGCAACUGUUCUGCUUUGGAGCAUUUGUGAUCAGGAACUCUAAACCUCAGUUUAUCUACAGACAAAGGAAUUAAGUUUUUCUCCUUAAAACAAGGAUGAUCUUUAGGGAUAUUUCUUCUGUAGUCAAUAUUCAUGGGAAGCCAAACAAAUGAACUUCUUUCUUGAUUACUAGGAGCAAGUAGAGAUUUAUUAGCUGUGUUUAGCAUUCUACUUGUUCAGAGUGAAUAAUAUUAAGUUAUUAAGUACUUGUGUACGUUCCUGCAGGACCAGGAACUAUAUUUGGUUUAAUUCUUUAUGUUAUACUCUUUGUACAAAAAAAAAGUUAAAUUGUCUGGAUAGAAAAGUAAUGGUUCUUCAGCAAGUUUGUAUUUUUGCUGAGAAAUGUUAUUUUUUGCAUAUUUGUCAAUUUGACUUUAAUUCAUCCUGUCAGUUACAAAACAGGCAAAAUACUUCAGUGAAAGAUAUUACUCAGAUAAAUUCCAAACAGAAUCCGAAGCAAGAAGAAGUUGCUGCUCCGUAGAGCUGGCUGACAAAAAUCCACACAUAACUUUUUGUAACUGGUUUCUCUAAGGCUGACCUGGACACACUGCCAGCAGAAUGCUUGGGCAGGAGAAUGACAAGUGCCGCAUGGGAAGACACGCAGAGCAGGCACAGUCAAAGGGACCAUUUUGCCAUCUGGGUGCCAGGGCACAGAGGCCACCCAGGUUACUUUCUGCUAUAUAACAACUGCUCUGCAGCCAGGCAGCCACUGCAAUUUCUCUCUUCUUUAUAAUAAACGUUGGUGCAACAGUUUGUGUAGAUAAACACAUAUUAUGGCUGUAUUUAUGGCAAUAAAUACUUUGUUAAAAUCCUAAAUCUGUUCCUAACGGGAAACAUGUAUAGUUUCCAGCUUACCUUCACCCAAGACUCCAAACUACAUAAAGUUAUAAUCUCUUGUAACUUGUUAGAUAAUUUUGCCAUUGGUGUGAUUAGUACUCUAAAGUUUUAGCUUAGGUCGAACCUGUUGUAGCUGUAAUAGGACACCACUAAGAGAAGAAAUGUGCCUAUGGAUAUUGGGUGGUUCAGCAGUGCAAUGCAUUGACUAUGGGACUGUGCUAGGCUGUGAUACGAGCAGCACAUAUAAGGAAGCAAUAAGGGAAUGAUAUGCAACACUGGGACAAUCCUGGGAGAUCUCUGCAGGGUGACAGCAACUGUUAAUUUGGUGGUUUGGCCUUGGCUCACCACCAGGUGCCCACCAAGCCGCUCUAUCACUCCUCCUCAACUGGAGAGAGGAGAGAAAAUACAAUGAAAGGCUUGUGGGU